rnacentral:rRNA from 1 species
AGUGGGGAAUAUUGGACAAUGGGGGGAACCCUGAUCCAGCCAUGCCGCGUGUGUGAAGAAGGCCUUUUGGUUGUAAAGCACUUUAAGCGAGGAGGAGGCUACCGAGAUUAAUACUCUUGGAUAGUGGACGUUACUCGCAGAAUAAGCACCGGCUAACUCUGUGCCAGCAGCCGCGGUAAUACAGAGGGUGCAAGCGUUAAUCGGAUUUACUGGGCGUAAAGCGCGCGUAGGUGGCCAAUUAAGUCAAAUGUGAAAUCCCCGAGCUUAACUUGGGAAUUGCAUUCGAUACUGGGAAGCUAGAGUAUGGGAGAGGAUGGUAGAAUUCCAGGUGUAGCGGUGAAAUGCGUAGAGAUCUGGAGGAAUACCGAUGGCGAAGGCAGCCAUCUGGCCUAAUACUGACGCUGAGGUACGAAAGCAUGGGGAGCAAACAGGAUUAGAUACCCCGG